AUUCGCGGCCUAUCAGCUUGUUGGUGGGGUGAUGGCCUACCAAGGCGACGACGGGUAGCCGGCCUGAGAGGGUGACCGGCCACACUGGGACUGAGACACGGCCCAGACUCCUACGGGAGGCAGCAGUGGGGAAUAUUGCACAAUGGGCGCAAGCCUGAUGCAGCAACGCCGCGUGAGGGAUGACGGCCUUCGGGUUGUAAACCUCUUUUAGCAGGGAAGAAGCGAAAGUGACGGUACCUGCAGAAAAGGCACCGGCUAACUACGUGCCAGCAGCCGCGGUAAUACGUAGGGUGCAAGCGUUGUCCGGAAUUAUUGGGCGUAAAGAGCUCGUAGGCGGUUUGUCGCGUCUGCUGUGAAAACGCGAGGCUCAACCUCGCGCCUGCAGUGGGUACGGGCAAACUUGAGUGCGGUAGGGGAGAUUGGAAUUCCUGGUGUAGCGGUGGAAUGCGCAGAUAUCAGGAGGAACACCGAUGGCGAAGGCAGAUCUCUGGGCCGUUACUGACGCUGAGGAGCGAAAGCGUGGGGAGCGAACAGGAUUAGAUACCCUGGUAGUCCACGCCGUAAACGUUGGGAACUAGAUGUGGGGUCCAUUCCACGGAUUCCGUGUCGCAGCUAACGCAUUAAGUUCCCCGCCUGGGGAGUACGGAAU
rnacentral:rRNA from 1 species